rnacentral:rRNA from 1 species
CCUACGGGAGGCAGCAGUGAGGGAUAUUGCGCAAUGGGCGAAAGCCUGACGCAGCGACGCCGCGUGGGCGAGGAAGGCCUUCGGGUUGUAAAGCCCUUUUGGCAGGGAAGAGCAAGGACUGUACCUGCAGAACAAGUCACGGCUAACUACGUGCCAGCAGCCGCGGUAAAACGUAGGUGGCGAGCGUUGUCCGGAAUUACUGGGCGUAAAGAGCGCGUAGGCGGUUUAUUAAGUCAGAUGUGGAAGUCUUAGGAUCAACCUGAGAAUUGCAUCUGAAACUGAUAGACUAGAGUCCAAUAGAGGAGAGUGGAAUUCCGGGUGUAGCGGUAAAAUGCGCAGAUAUCGGGAGGACCACCAGUGGCGAAGGCGGCU